UACGGAGGGGGCUAGCGUUGUUCGGAAUUACUGGGCGUAAAGCGUACGUAGGCGGCCUUGUAAGUUAGAGGUGAAAGCCCGGGGCUCAACUCCGGAAUUGCCUUUAAGACUGCAUCGCUUGAAUCAUGGAGAGGUUAGUGGAAUUCCGAGUGUAGAGGUGAAAUUCGUAGAUAUUCGGAAGAACACCAGUGGCGAAGGCGACUAACUGGACAUGUAUUGACGCUGAGGUACGAAAGCGUGGGGAGCAAACAGG
rnacentral:rRNA from 1 species